GUUGUCAAACCAAAAGUAAUAGACAUAUAGUACAACAGCACAUGAGACAUAAGAUGCACGAUGUUUUUCUAACUGUUUAUUGAUAAGUUUCGCGCCAAAAAAACGAAAGAUGGUAACAAACUGUCGGGAAAAGAAAGUGGUGCCGUAAACAUCCGAAUAAAUCAUGGCAUGCCAACUUUCUGGAUACAGCUGACUCGGGUAUUUCCUCAUCAAAUGUCAACGAAACGGAUGUGAGGCGCUGAAAUAGGAUAAAUCAGGAUAGUUUAUCACUUCGUCUUUCUUUUGAAUUGAAGUCUGAAACUCUAUAUAUCUUAUUCGAACGAACAUCUGAGUGUGAUUUACUGCGAUGCAUUAGAAAUCUUAGCCCUUUUUAGGUGGAAGACAGUGGGCCAAGCAUAGAAAGCAUAUUGAAAAACCAUAUUAUUUUUUUGUUAAGUAAAAACUGAUUGGUACCAUCACAAUAGACAUGGGCCCUAUCUGGAGAAAAGUCGUCGUUUUCAUAGUGUUGAUGCUAUGGAUUGCAUCGAUUGAAGGUAGACGAAGUCGUUCCUGGUUUCCUUAUCUUCGUAGACGUGGAUGAAGUAGACCCAACAAAGUGAUCUCAUAUUUGGAUGAAGUUAUAAUGUAUAUAUAUAAUAAAAGUUGUCUUUCAACGAUGUUUUAAAAAUUUGAUGUAAUAAAAACUGUUCGGUUAUA